rnacentral:tRNA from 1 species
GGGUGCUUAGCUCAGUUGGUAGAGCGUCUGCCUUACACGCAGGAUGUCGGCGGUUCGAGCCCGUCAGCACCCACCA